CAGAACCAUUAGGUCUCCGUUUCAAAUCCCAUUAGCCUAAGUGUGUGGAUGAAUAAAAGAGUUUCCUUUUUGAUUACGCAAAUGAAGAUUGUUUUAUAUUAUUGAAAGUUUCUAAACAUUCAAUUGCAUUCAGAAAAAUGUAUUAUUUCCUCAUUGUUUGCCAUGUGUAAUUGCUUAUAUCUGUUAUGUUUUGGCAUAAGGUAGAACCAAACCAGGAGUUCUAUGGUUUGGUAUGUGAAGGAGCCAAUGUGCUUCCAGCAAGGUUUAUAGAAGAUUCUUUUCUAGAUGGAUGUUUCCCCAAGCUUCCUCUGUUACGGGCACAAGCAUGCAAAUGAAGCUCGAUCUUAUUGGUUGGAGUGGAAGUGUGGAACUGAGGCGUCAAAGGUAUCACCGCCUGCCUCUGCCAAUACCCAUGAAUCUGGUCUGCUAAUGAAAGAUUGUCCUGCUGAUAGCAAUGCUCAAGGAAAUCGACAUGCUGAUAGUAACUUGCCUAGUUUACCCUUGAGGCAACAGUGGAAAUCUCUUCCUGGAGCAAUUAAUCAGAGUCCUGUAACGAUGCAAGUGAAGGAUUCGAAUAUAAUGCUAAAAAAUCUGUCACAAGGCUCGCUCAGUCCACAAUUCUGUUAUGGAGCUACGCAAUAUUUGCAAUCAUCCGUAUCUUAGCGAGCUUCAUGUGGAGGAGAUUCACGAGUUAAUUCCUAAGCAUUAUCUGCCUAACAUUGUGAGGAUUUGUGCGAAGCUUGAAAUGUUGGACAGACUACUGCCGAAACUUAAGGCAACAGAUCAUCGGGUACAAAAUUGCAUGUUUGCAUUAGGCAACUUCUGGGCCUGUCCAUUCCUUGUGCUUCCUCUGUGGAAAGUACCAGUGCAACUAUCUUAGAGAGUGCUACUGCUGUUGCUCCUAGCCAUCAGUCAAUUGUUCCUUCUGUUGCUUCUCUGUCUGGUCCUCCUUGUCCUCCUACAAGUGAGCAGGGUAGGGGAUGAGGUAGAGGGCGAGGUCGAGGUCGAGGGCGAGGUCGGAAGGUUGAAAAUGGAGGAGAAGCUCCAGGGCGUAGAGGGAAACGACAGAGUGUUACAACAGAGGUGUUUCUCUCCCCUCCAACUCAAGCAAUAAGUGAGCCUGUCUCGGCAGCACAAGGUGUGAAUGUUUUGAGCUCUUCAAGUCACCAUAUGCCUCCAACACCUCCCUCAAUGGGAAAGCCUGAUCUGGUGUCACAGGUAGUGGCAGGUUUGGGUUCAAAAGAACUUGGUCAUGCUCCUGCAUCCGUGAGAGAUGCUAAUAAGGAACUGAAUUUCAGUUUCUAUGAUGCCUCUUGCAUCAUCUUCCACUAGCAAGGAAGUAAUCUCUGUUUCGACUGUUCCUCUUAUUCCAUCAUCUACUUCCAGCCAGGACCCUAGUUCAAUUUCACCUGCAGUCCAUUCAUCCUCAAAAAACCAUUCAGAAGACCAUCUUUCCUUCUCUGCUGCCCAGACUGAAGCUACUCAGCAAGCUAAUGCAAUUUCAGUUGUGCCUCAUACUUCACCUUCGGCUGGCACGGAACCAAGUUCUGCGUCACCUAUCCCUCUUCUUUAGUUAACUUCCAACGACUUACCUGCUCCUGUUCCUGCAUCAUCUUCUGCAUGCAUGGAACUAAGUUCAGUUUGCCCUGUUCCUGCUGUUGCAUCCUCCUGUUCCAGCAUGGGUCCAACUUCAUCAGCACCUGCUCCUCUUCUUUUAGCAUCUAAUGCAACAGGCAAAUUAGAUUCUGGA